GUGCAGCAGUCGAGAAUACUUUACAAUGUGCGAAAGCACGAUAAGGGAACUCUGAGUGCCUCCUAAGGAGGCUGUUCGGGUGUCUAAAAAGCACCUGAAGGAAGGGCUGGGUAAGACCGGUGCCAGCCGCCGCGGUAACACCGGCAGCCCAAGUGGUAGCCACGUUUAUUGGGUCUAAAGCGUCCGUAGCCGGCUGGGUAAGUUCCUUGGGAAAUUUGGCUGCUUAACAGUCAAGCUUUCAGGGAAUACUGCCCGGCUUGGGGACCGGGAGAGGUCAGAGGUACUCC
rnacentral:rRNA from 1 species